rnacentral:rRNA from 1 species
GGCUGUUCGCCAUUUAAAGUGGUACGCGAGCUGGGUUUAGAACGUCGUGAGACAGUUCGGUCCCUAUCUGCCGUGGGCGCUGGAGAACUGAGGGGGGCUGCUCCUAGUACGAGAGGACCGGAGUGGACGCAUCACUGGUGUUCGGGUUGUCAUGCCAAUGGCACUGCCCGGUAGCUAAAUGCGGAAGAGAUAAGUGCUGAAAGCAUCUAAGCACGAAACUUGCCCCGAGAUGAGUUCUCCCUGACUCCUUGAGAGUCCUGAAGGAACGUUGAAGACGACGACGUUGAUAGGCCGGGUGUGUAAGCGCAGCGAUGCGUUGAGCUAACCGGUACUAAUGAACCGUGAGGCUUAACCUUACAACGCCGAAG